rnacentral:rRNA from 1 species
GAUUUCUGGCUUGAAACAUUUUGCCGGCCACGGUUUCGUGUGUUAGUGCUUGAUGUUCUGGCCAUCCUUCCAAUUGUCAUUCACUUCUCUUCAUUGAUUGGUGAGUGGUAUUGGAUCUUUUACUUUGAAAAAAUUAGAGUGUUUCAAGCAGGCUUUAUGCUAUGAAUACAUUAGCAUGGAAUAAUAAUUUAGGACUUCGGUUCUAUUUUGUUGGUUUCUAGGACUGAAGUAAUGAUUGAUAGGGAUAGUUGGGGGUGCUAGUAUUCAGCGGCCAGAGGUGAAAUUCUCGGAUUCGCUGAAGACUAACUUAUGCGAAAGCAUU